GUAGACAUAGUUUAAUCAAAACACCAGAUUGUGAUUCUGGUGACAGAGGUUAAACCCCUCUUGUCCACC
rnacentral:tRNA from 1 species